AUCUACGGCCAUGCUACCCUGAACAUGUCCGACCCCGUCUGAUCUCGGAAGCUAAGCAGGGUCAGGCCUGGUUAGUACUUGGAUGGGAGACCACGUAGGAAGACCAGGUGCUGUAGGCG
rnacentral:rRNA from 1 species